AAGCGGUUGCUGAUGAACUCGCAGAUGCCGCUCAGGGUCAGCUUCUUCUGCGGGCUCUGCAGGAUGGCCAUGGUGAUGAGCGCGAUGUACGAGUGUGGACAAAUCCUCCAAGAUUUAACUUCCAAGAAAACCGGCGGCGGAGCGGGUGGAGGAGGCGAGGAUGUGUGGCCAAUGCACGCGGAGUGCAAGGCCGCCUAGUUGGGAGCCGCAAGAGCCUGCCUGGUGUGGCAGGCACACGGAACCCAAUCCCUGUCUGUCCGCUGCGGCCUGGGAGGGGAGCGCCGGCCUCACCAGAGGAAGGAGCACGAGGGGAGGAGUUCCGAGAGGAAAUAAUUAGUGAAAUAUUUGCAGAAGAUGCUGGGAUGUGGAUUUAAUUCCGGAUGGACAGUGGUGCUUCUGAUUCCCUCAGUCUGUUUCCCCACCCACGAUCUCCUCUUUCCUUGGCCUAGACACACCAAAAAUAAUUCAAUAAAAUAAAAAUAAAAAUUUAAAAAUC
rnacentral:lncRNA from 1 species